rnacentral:rRNA from 1 species
UACGGAGGGUGCAAGCGUUGAUCGGAAUUACUGGGCGUAAAGCGUGCGCAGGCGGUUUGUUAAGUCCGUUGUGAAAGCCCCGAGCUCAACUUGGGAAUUGCAGUGGAUACUGGCAGGCUGGAGUACGGUAGAGGAAGGUGGAAUUCCCGGUGUAGCAGUGAAAUGCGUAGAUAUCGGGAGGAACACCAGUGGCGAAGGCGGCCUUCUGGACCAGUACUGACGCUCAUGCACGAAAGCGUGGGGAGCAAACAGG